rnacentral:rRNA from 1 species
AGCGGCGGACGGGUGAGUAACGCGUGGGUAACCUGCCCUAUACACACGGAUAACAUACCGAAAGGUAUGCUAAUACGAGAUAAUAUAAGAGAUUCGCAUGGAUUUCUUAUCAAAGCUGAGGCGGUAUAGGAUGGACCCGCGUCUGAUUAGCUAGUUGGUAAGGUAACGGCUUACCAAGGCGACGAUCAGUAGCCGACCUGAGAGGGUGAUCGGCCACAUUGGAACUGAGACACGGUCCAAACUCCUACGGGAGGCAGCAGUGGGGAAUAUUGCACAAUGGGCGAAAGCCUGAUGCAGCAACGCCGCGUGAGUGAUGAAGGCCUUCGGGUCGUAAAACUCUGUCCUCAAGGAAGAUAAUGACGGUACUUGAGGAGGAAGCCCCGGCUAACUACGUGCCAGCAGCCGCGGUAAUACGUAGGGGGGCUAGCGUUAUCCGGAUUUACUGGGCGUAAAGGGUGCGUAGGUGGUCUCUUAAGUCAGGAGUGAAAGGCUACGGCUUAACCGUAGUAAGCUCUUGAAACUGGGAGACUUGAGUGCAGGAGAGGAAAGUGGAAUUCCUAGUGUAGCGGUGAAAUGCGUAGAUAUUAGGAGGAACACCAGUAGCGAAGGCGGCUUUCUGGACUGUAACUGACACUGAGGCACGAAAGCGUGGGGAGCAAACAGGAUUAGAUACCCUGGUAGUCCACGCCGUAAACGAUGAGUACUAGGUGU